CACGGGGGGAGCAAGCGUUGUUCGGAUUCAUUGGGCGUAAAGGGCUCGUAGGUGGCUUUGUAAGUCGGAGGUGAAAUCCCACGGCUCAACCGUGGACACGCCUUCGAAACUGUGAAGCUUGAGGCUGGGAGAGGAAAUCGGAAUUCCUGGUGUAGCGGUGAAAUGCGUAGAUAUCCGGAGGAACACCGGUGGCGAAGGCGGCUUCCUGGACCGACACUGACGCUGAGGCGCGAAAGCUAGGGGAGCAAACGGG
rnacentral:rRNA from 1 species